UGCAAUUCUUCAGAAACCAGGUGUGGUGGU
rnacentral:piRNA from 1 species